rnacentral:rRNA from 1 species
UACGUAGGGUGCGAGCGUUAAUCGGAAUUACUGGGCGUAAAGCGUGCGCAGGCGGUUCGCCAAGUCAGGUGUGAAAUCCCCGGGCUUAACCUGGGAAUUGCGCUUGAAACUAGCGGGCUUGAGUGUGGCAGAGGGGGGUGGAAUUCCACGUGUAGCAGUGAAAUGCGUAGAGAUGUGGAGGAACACCGAUGGCGAAGGCAAUCCCCUGGGCCUGCACUGACGCUCACGCACGAAAGCGUGGGGAGCAAACAGG